rnacentral:rRNA from 1 species
GACGAACCUGACAAACGUUAUUCGGAAUUACUGGGCUUAAAGGGUGCGUAGGCGGCUCGACAAGUUGGGUGUGAAAUCCCUCGGCUCAACCGAGGAACUGCGCUCAAUACUGUCGUGCUCGAGGGAGACAGAGGUGAGCGGAACUUAGGGUGGAGCGGUGAAAUGCGUUGAUAUCCUAAGGAACACCGGUAGCGAAAGCGGCUCACUGGGUCUUUUCUGACGCUGAGGCACGAAAGCUAGGGUAGCGAACGGG